CACUAACUGGAGGACCGAACCGACUAAUGUUGAAAAAUUAGCGGAUGACUUGUGGCUGGGGGUGAAAGGCCAAUCAAACCGGGAGAUAGCUGGUUCUCCCCGAAAGCUAUUUAGGUAGCGCCUCGUGAAUUCAUCUCCGGGGGUAGAGCACUGUUUCGGCAAGGGGGUCAUCCCGACUUACCAACCCGAUGCAAACUGCGAAUACCGGAGAAUGUUAUCACGGGAGACACACGGCGGGUGCUAACGUCCGUCGUGAAGAGGGAAACAACCCAGACCGCCAGCUAAGGUCCCAAAGUCAUGGUUAAGUGGGAAACGAUGUGGGAAGGCCCAGACAGCCAGGAUGUUGGCUUAGAAGCAGCCAUCAUUUAAAGAAAGCGUAAUAGCUCACUGGUCGAGUCGGCCUGCGCGGAAGAUGUAACGGGGCUAAACCAUGCACCGAAGCUGCGGCAGCGACGCUUAUGCGUUGUUGGGUAGGGGAGCGUUCUGUAAGCCUGUGAAGGUGUGCUGUGAGGUAUGCUGGAGGUAUCAGAAGUGCGAAUGCUGACAUAAGUAACGAUAAAGCGGGUGAAAAGCCCGCUCGCCGGAAGACCAAGGGUUCCUGUCCAACGUUAAUCGGGGCAGGGUGAGUCGACCCCUAAGGCGAGGCCGAAAGGCGUAGUCGAUGGGAAACAGGUUAAUAUUCCUGUACUUGGUGUUACUGCGAAGGGGGGACGGAGAAGGCUAUGUUGGCCGGGCGACGGUUGUCCCGGUUUAAGCGUGUAGGCUGGUUUUCCAGGCAAAUCCGGAAAAUCAAGGCCGAGGCGUGAUGACGAGGCACUACGGUGCUGAAGCAACAAAUGCCCUGCUUCCAGGAAAAGCCUCUAAGCAUCAGGUAACAUCAAAUCGUACCCCAAACCGACACAGGUGGUCAGGUAGAGAAUACCAAGGCGCUUGAGAGAACUCGGGUGAAGGAACUAGGCAAAAUGGUGCCGUAACUUCGGGAGAAGGCACGCUGAUACGUAGGUGAAGCGACUUGCUCGUGGAGCUGAAAUCAGUCGAAGAUACCAGCUGGCUGCAACUGUUUAUUAAAAACACAGCACUGUGCAAACACGAAAGUGGACGUAUACGGUGUGACGCCUGCCCGGUGCCGGAAGGUUAAUUGAUGGGGUUAGCGCAAGCGAAGCUCUUGAUCGAAGCCCCGGUAAACGGCGGCCGUAACUAUAACGGUCCUAAGGUAGCGAAAUUCCUUGUCGGGUAAGUUCCGACCUGCACGAAUGGCGUAAUGAUGGCCAGGCUGUCUCCACCCGAGACUCAGUGAAAUUGAACUCGCUGUGAAGAUGCAGUGUACCCGCGGCAAGACGGAAAGACCCCGUGAACCUUUACUAUAGCUUGACACUGAACAUUGAGCCUUGAUGUGUAGGAUAGGUGGGAGGCUUUGAAGUGUGGACGCCAGUCUGCAUGGAGCCGACCUUGAAAUACCACCCUUUAAUGUUUGAUGUUCUAACGUGGACCCGUGAUCCGGGUUGCGGACAGUGUCUGGUGGGUAGUUUGACUGGGGCGGUCUCCUCCUAAAGAGUAACGGAGGAGCACGAAGGUUGGCUAAUCCUGGUCGGACAUCAGGAGGUUAGUGCAAUGGCAUAAGCCAGCUUGACUGCGAGCGUGACGGCGCGAGCAGGUGCGAAAGCAGGUCAUAGUGAUCCGGUGGUUCUGAAUGGAAGGGCCAUCGCUCAACGGAUAAAAGGUACUCCGGGGAUAACAGGCUGAUACCGCCCAAGAGUUCAUAUCGACGGCGGUGUUUGGCACCUCGAUGUCGGCUCAUCACAUCCUGGGGCUGAAGUAGGUCCCAAGGGUAUGGCUGUUCGCCAUUUAAAGUGGUACGCGAGCUGGGUUUAGAACGUCGUGAGACAGUUCGGUCCCUAUCUGCCGUGGGCGCUGGAGAACUGAGGGGGGCUGCUCCUAGUACGAGAGGACCGGAGUGGACGCAUCACUGGUGUUCGGGUUGUCAUGCCAAUGGCACUGCCCGGUAGCUAAAUGCGGAAGAGAUAAGUGCUGAAAGCAUCUAAGCACGAAACUUGCCCCGAGAUGAGUUCUCCCUGACCCUUUAAGGGUCCUGAAGGAACGUUGAAGACGACGACGUUGAUAGGCCGGGUGUGUAAGCGCAGCGAUGCGUUGAGCUAACCGGUACUAAUGAACCGUGAGGCUUAACCUU
rnacentral:rRNA from 1 species